rnacentral:misc_RNA from 1 species
GAAAUUUGUUGCCUAAUUGAUGAGUUUUUAGAAACAGCUUGACCCUAUAAUUACUGCACUAGGCUGGAUCAGUCAGUUAAAAUUUCAUGUGAUUAAAAGCAUUUGGACCAUUAUUUGUCCGCAAACUAAUCUUAAUCCAAUUGGUGAAAUCCAUCUGGUUUGUAGCUGUCCAGAGUUGUUUGCUUAUUUAUUUAGUAAUCAGUAUAUUACUUGUUGACCAACAUUGUUUCUGCAUGUUCCAUGUUGCUG